GGCCCAAAUUUGAAGUAGAGUAGAUUAGGAUUAUCUAACCCUACUAAACUACUCUACUGCAAGUUUGUGCCC
rfam:Haemonchus placei strain MHpl1 genome assembly, scaffold: HPLM_scaffold0000031